ACUACUGAAGCACUUGCUCUCUGGCUCUGCUCUUUGACCUUCUCUGCCUGGAGAAGUGAAGCAGAUCAAAAAGAGACUGUGCUUUGCCUGUGCCCAAUGUGUUGCUUAGCUGUAUGUGCUUCUCUCCUGCACUCUCGCUUCUGUAUGGCUCUGACGGACAGAAGCAAGAGACUGAGGGACCACAAGCUCUACCCCUCCCUCUUAGCAGCCUGAGCAGUGGUUUUACACUAGCUAGACUGGUUCAGUGACUCAUCCGACUAGCAAAGCAACUUUGUCACUUAAGGCUACGACAAGCUUUGGCCUCAAACAAAGGUUUGUAUGAAACACAGGCUUGUUAUGAGAAGAUUAUGAAACUGGGUGUACAAUUUAUUUUCUACCUGCAUAGCAAAAUCUCUCUCUUUUUCUCUCAUGCACAUGCACACGUACACCCCUGGAACAUCUUGAAUAGGGACAUUUUAGGUAAUUUGACAGUAGUUCUCAGGACAGUGGGACACAAUCUAGAAAGUUUAUACUGUCCAAGUGAAACAAGAAUACAUUGUCCUUUUAUCCUGGCUAGGAAGAGAUAUUCAGAAAGCCAAAGGCAGAAUCAAUCUAAGUUAUGCGGUUUUCUGUAAGCGGCAUAGUUUAGACUGGUAUGGACACAAGCGGCUUCUGGUUUCUUUCAUCAGUCCACACGAUCAUUUUAAAACCAUCUCCAUAUCCUAUCUUUUCUUUCACCAUUUCUUUCUAUUCAGAAGUGUGUCUGGCAUGACAGUUGUUUUCUGGCAGUGGUUGAUGAAGGUUUGUUUGCAUCCCAGUGGACAUGUAAGAGUUAGGGUCAGGCUGACAUGAAUAGAAUGCUGCAUGGCAAUAUUUGCAGCUGUGUGCUACUCUCCUGUUGAGCACUGGAGCAGCAGCAAUUAAGAUUCAGGCCAGUGCCUUUAGAGAAUAAUGGUCCUGGUUACUUGAAAAUAUUAGAAUAAUUCAACUUUCUGCAGUUGCUAAGCAGGAAAAAAAGUAAACAGGGAAGAAUAAGUGCAGGGAGUGGUGUUUUUGAACUGGCAUAGUCAAGAAGGGCUAUCAAAAAAAAAGAUCCCUGGAAAUCAUGUUUGGAUGAGUCUUCAAUUCCAUCUCCCUGCAUGGAGCAGGAUUUUCCUUCGCAAAAGCCCUUCUAGCUUUAAAUCAUCUACCCUUGUUCUACUGUGCCAAAGACCUCCCUCAGAGGAUAAUUUCAUCGUUUGUGUGCCCCUGCUGUAGAGAUUUGCUUCUAAAGUUCAGGGUAUAAUUUUUCUCUGUUAUGAUCCAAUCUAUUUCUCCAAUCUCAUUGGCUUCCAUUGGAGCUGUUAGUGCUGUUAUGCUCAGCAUAUCCAGCCAUAAUUAAUGCUCACUAGGUUAUUCCCAGUCACUGAAAAUUCCAUCAAAUCGCUAUUUCCCGUCCUACCAGAAAAUCAUCCUAUUUUCAUUUCAGUGGCAACUUGCAAUUAUAUGCAUGGAUUCACAGGUUUUAAGGCAGAAGGGAACACUCUUUCAAUCCAUUUUGAACACUUGAUCAUGGUUUUUCAUUGAAACAAUGUCACAAAAUGCAUGAUGAACGAUGGACAAACAAAAUUAAAGUCUUUGCAAUUUUUCCUGGACUCUUCCACAUCCCUGGCAGCAUUUGGCUUGAAAGGAAUCCACAGUGUAUAAUCAACUCAUUAUAGAAGCCAUUUGAAUCAAUGUUGGGCAUGCAGAAUGGUGGAAUACAAUGCUAUAAAAGGGAUCUUUUUCUGAAGUGCCAUUACAGGAGCCAGUUUACUCAGAUAGUCCUGUUCUUCAGUAGUCCUGACCUCAUCCUCAUCCCUGUGAAAUCUGAAUAGUCCUUUUGUCUACAAAGAUCAAAUUCAAAAGUUCUCUUCUCAAGUGGAUUCUUGAAAAAAAAAAUGUUUUUCUUGUUGUGUAUUUUCUUUAAAGAAAGCUGAUUUAUGGUUGACACCAGAGAGAAUAAUACCUCUUUUAUUAUUAUUUUAAGUAGAAACUCCCCCCCGCACUGUUUCAGUGUCCCACUUCCCAGAUGAAGCUAGCUAUCUUGCCUAUUGACAUUUCAGGAAAACUAAGUUAUUCAGGCAGUUAUAGAGUUUUGCUCCAGUUAGAGCUAUGAGUUGAGAAGAAAGUACAUUUCAGCUUUAAACCCAAUUUUAAAUAAGGUCUCGCCCACAGGCUCAAAUGGUAAGGAAAGAGACUAGAUGCAAAAUGUUACACAAGAAUCAUUGCUACGUUUUGAGCUGCUUUUAUAUAGGCAAUGCCUAAGAAUUGCUUAUUUGUAGAGUGCUACAGGUCUUGUCAUGGAUGAGGGUGGGGUACAAGCACAGAAUAAAGUAGUGUCCUUGCCCUAAACUGCUUACACUUCAGAUGUUCUGGCUUAAUUAAAAUUGAUUUAAAAAAAAAUUACCGGGCUGAAUCGCACAAAACUCUGUGUAGACUUGUUUGUUGUUUGACAACUACUCUGGGGAAGUUAAACAGCUAUAAGCUAGCUGUAAACCCACAGAAUUGUGUUGACCUGGAUUUGUGCUGGUUUAAGCUAACUGGGUUUUUGAACCUAUUUCAAUUAAAGUGGUGCAACUUCUGGGUAUAAAGCUCAUUUAUUACCUGGUGUAGGGCAGGUAUUGACUGAAGUGAUGUGAAGUUGUACCAGAACAGAAUGAUAGCAGUUUGUAUCCAUUUUGCAUAGAUGGAGGAGCUGUUGUCAGCCAGAAAAUGCUAAGCAGUUUAAUCAGCGGGAGCUAUGCCAAGGAUCUGAUUCAGGGCCACUUAUCUCAGUGACUGAAUAUAAUGGAUGAAAGCCACACCUUGCCUAGUUAAAUAGUACACCUAGUGCAGUCCUGUCCAGCAGUGAUUGGGUAAGAAAUGGCAUUUGCUGGCAUGUAAUUCCAACUGUACAGGCUUUGUUCUGAGGCCUCACGCUGCAAGCUCGGGACACAAGCAAAGGGUGUGGUAAUGUUAUCCUGCUUCAUAAGUAGCCUUCCUCAUGGCCUUGCUACAUUGCUGGAGUCUGCACGGUGGUGAGAGCAGUGGCUACUGUUCUUCUAGCCUUUGACAGCCUGUGCCCUGGAGCCAGUUGAGAGAGGGAAGUAAUCUGUACCAGCAGAACAGCUAGCACAAUCACUUUCCCCUGAAGGAAGGAAGAACUGGAUUGGGGCUCUGAGUCACAAACUGGUUCUUGCUCUUGGGGCAGCCCAGCUACGUGCUGCACCUAACAUUUCAGCCUUUCCAAUUGCUCCAUACAGCUAUUACAGUAUCCAGCCUCUUUUCUAGAGCAUCAUUCGACUAUGGCUCCGAAAAUAGGUUACUAAUAUUAAAGUGAAACUGAUUGGAGCACUGGAACAAGACUCAGGAGCCUGGAGAUCUGAUCUCAUCUCUGUUGCUGGCCUGUUGAGUGAGCCAUGCCUCUGUUUCCCUUCCAGUAAAAUGGGACCUCUUUUGAGGUUUAAAAAUGAAUUAACAGUGUAUAAGAAUGAGGUGUUAUUUAUUAAUUAUGAUGGUGUUAGUAACUUAAAUAAAUGAUGAGAAACAAGCUAGAUAUCUAAAAAUGAGGCAGUUCACUUUUUGUAUUGCUCUUGACAUGGCUAGAAUACUUUUGGAUUCUCAUGCACUAGUUCAAAGUGCAAUGCUAUAAUACUUGUGGUGAAAACAUUGCACAGAAUUAUUCAGAAGUGAGCUGUCUGUGUCAGAAUAGGGAUUGUGCCCUUCUCUGGAGCAUUAGGAUGUAGAAAACUGGCCCAGAAUGUAACUGUUUUAGACACAUGUGAAAUGGAGACAGAGAAAGUUUUGGAAGACUCCAUCGUGAUUGUUAAGCCUGUGUAAUGAUGCUUGCAAGGGGCAGGAGAAUGAAAGACAGUUGGGCAAUUAAAGGAACAAUACUUUACAGUGUAGUCCAUUUUAAUUAAAAUGAUUUAGCUCCAAUGCUAAUCAACCUUUUGAGGGAAGAGAUUGGAAACAUGCAUCCUUUGUUUGAGGAGUUAGCGCUCUCUGGAUCUGGUUAUACCAUAUUAAUGGAGGCUCUCGAGGGCACCUCUGAGAAGUAAAGCCUGUGCCAAGUCCAGAAAAGAGGCAGUGAAGCUGUCUUGGUGUCUUCCUCUGCUGCCACUCUCAAGUUCUCCAUCUCCAGUGUGCUGGACAGUGGUGGAGGAGUGCCACCCCCUUGAUGGAUUUGCUGCCUCAUUUCUGAGUGAUGCAGGAGGGGGCAGAUAGGUUUGUGCUUCGUGGCAGUACACUCAGCA